UAAAACGAGAGACAUCCAUUAAAACAAGGAUUGAAAC
rnacentral:other from 1 species